ensembl:lncRNA
AUGACAAUGACACUGCAAACAAGAACUCAUAGUAGGAAGUUAUCUGAGACUUUGGUUUUAAACAAUAUUCCUGGAAGUCAUCUUUUAGAACUACAAGAUAUUCACCACUUUGAUUCCCAACAGAAUGCUGUAGUGGGCGUGUGUGAAGAUGAAGAUCUGAAAGUUUCAGAAAUAUGAACAGAAGAAGAGAGCUGAAUGUUGAUGACGGUACAGCUGAAUUUACUCUAAAUAGUAUCAAGAGAAAAAUUACUGCCAGUUUUUCUUCCAAGUGUCCUGCCUUAUUCAGCAGAGUGAUGGCGAUAAUUUUAGGGUAUUAAACAAGAUGCAAAAAUUUUCUGUCUCAUUCUCUU